rnacentral:rRNA from 1 species
GUCCCCCUACGGGGCGCAGCAGUGGGGAAUAUUGCACAAUGGGGGAAACCCUGAUGCAGCGACGCCGCGUGAGCGAUGAAGUAUUUCGGUAUGUAAAGCUCUAUCAGCAGGGAAGAAAAUGACGAUACCUGACUAAGAAGCCCCGGCUAACUACGUGCCAGCAGCCGCGGUAAUACGUAGGGGGCAAGCGUUAUCCAGAUUUACUGGGUGUAAAGGGAGCGUAGACGGCUGUGCAAGCCAGAUGUGAAAGCCCGGGGCUCAACCCCGGGACUGCAUUUGGAACUGCGUGGCUUGAGUGUCGGAGG